rnacentral:rRNA from 1 species
UACGAAGGGGGCAAGCGUUGUUCGGAUUUACUGGGCGUAAAGGGCGCGUAGGCGGAACGACAAGUCAGAGGUUAAAGCCCUGGGCUCAACCCGGGAAUUGCCUUUGGGACUGCCGUUCUAGAGUUCGGAAGAGGAUGGCGGAAUACCCAGUGUAGAGGUGAAAUUCGUAGAUAUUGGGUAGAACACCGGUGGCGAAGGCGGCCAUCUGGUCCGACACUGACGCUGAGGCGCGAAAGCGUGGGGAGCAAACAGG